GAAAGUAGGAAAGGGCGCAUGGCGGAUGCCUUGGCUCUCGGAGGCGAUGAAGGACGUGAUAAGCUGCGAUAAGUCACGGGGAGGUGCAAAUAACCUUUGAUCCGUGAAUCUCCGAAUGGGACAACCCGAUAUCCUGAAGGGAUAUCACCUCAUCUAGUUGAGGAGCUAACGCAGGGAACUGAAACAUCUUAGUACCUGCAGGAAAAGAAAAUAACAAUGAUUCCCCCAGUAGUGGCGAGCGAACGGGGAAGAGCCCAAACCACACAUGUUACGGCAUGUGUGGGGUUGUAGGACCACGGCGUUGCAAGAACUCUUGUGAGAAGAACAGCCUGGAAAGACUGACCACAGACGGUGACAGUCCGGUAUUCGAAGCAAGACGAAGCAUAGUGGUAUCCUGAGUAGCGCGGAACACGAGGAAUUCUGCGUGAAUCUGCCGGGACCAUCCGGUAAGGCUAAAUACUCCCGAGAGACCGAUAGUGGACCAGUACCGUGAGGGAAAGGUGAAAAGCACUUCGAACAGAAGAGUGAAAGAGUACCUGAAACCGUGCGCCUACAAGCGGUCGGAGCACGAAAGUGUGACGGCGUGCCUUUUGCAUAAUGAACCUACGAGUUACCGUAUCUGGCAAGGUUAAGGGUCACGAGACCUGCAGCCGAAGCGAAAGCGAGUCUGAAGAGGGCGUCGAGUCAGUUGCGGUAGACGCGAAACCAAGUGAUCUACCCUUGGCCAGGAUGAAGUCUGGGUAACACCAGAUGGAGGUCCGCACCAAUAAGCGUUGAAAAGCUUCUGGAUGAGCUGAGGGUAGGGGUGAAAGGCUAAUCAAACUUGGAGAUAGCUCGUACUCCCCGAAAUGCAUUUAGGUGCAGCCUCGCGGGUUACUGAUGUGAGGUAGAGCGACUGAUUGGAUGCGAGGGCUUCACCGCCUAUCAAGUCCUGACAAACUCCGAAUGCGCAUCAGUUUUACCGCGGGAGUGAGGGCAUGGGUGCUAAGGUCCGUGCCCGAGAGGAGAAGAAUCCGGACUAUCAGCUAAGGCCCCGAAAUGACAGCUAAGUUAAACUAACGAAGUCUGAUUGCUAAGACAGCUAGGAUGUUGGCUUGGAAGCAGCCAUUCAUUUAAAGAGUGCGUAACAGCUCACUAGUCGAGGAAUCGGGCGUGGAUAAUAAUCGGGUAUUAAGUUGUCUGCCGAAGCUAUAGAAUCAGCAAUGAUUGGUAGGGGAGCAUUCCAUUCUGCGUUGAAGGCGUGGCGUGAGCCAUUCUGGAGCGUAUGGAAAAGCAAAUGUAGGUAUAAGUAACGAUAAAGGGGGUGAGAAACCCCCUCGCCGAAAGACUAAGGUUUCCUGAUCAACGCUAAUCGGAUCAGGGUAAGUCGGGUCCUAAGGUUCAGCCGAACGGCGAGACCGAUGGCAGAAACGGUUAAUAUUCCGUUACUACCUUUGAGGGUGACGUGGGGACGCAGGAGUGACACCGCCGCCGGCUGACGGAAUAGCCGGUUAAAGAGUGUAGACGUUGAUUUCCGCAGGCAAAUCCACGGAAAGAGUCGAACUUGACAGUAUGGAACGUCCUUCGGGACAAUCCAAUAGUGCGGGUAAGCAGACUGCCGAGAAAAUCCGCUAAACAUAACUUCAGAGGUACCCGUACCGCAAACGGACACACGUAGUCGGGUUGAAUAUACUAAGGCGCUUGAGUGAAUCACGGUUAAGGAACUAGGCAAACUGACCCUGUAACUUCGGGAUAAAGGGUCCCUACCCAGAAAUGGGAGGGCGCAGAGAAUAGGUCCAGGCAACUGUUUAACAAAAACACAGGGCUGUGCCAAUAUGAAAGUAGACGUAUACAGCCUGACACCUGCCCGGUGCUGGAAGGUUAAGAGGAGAUGUCAUCGCAAGAGAAGCAUUGAAUUGAAGCCCCAGUAAACGGCGGCCGUAACUAUAACGGUCCUAAGGUAGCGAAAUUCCUUGUCGGGUAAGUUC
rnacentral:rRNA from 1 species